ensembl:lncRNA
GCUUUAUCCUGCUAAAUUGCCUUCCUGCCUCUACCCUGAGCCUGUGUCCUCCCUGCAGGCUGAGUGCUGGGGGCCAUUCCCUGUGAUGAAGAGGAUGCUGCCCUGUGCCUGCCUCCUUGUCUCUCCCCCUGUGCUGAGCACACCACUUGUGAUGAUCCAGAAAGAAAACUCUUUUGGGCCAGUCUAGUGGAACAAACAGACCUGUGCACACCAGCACAGUCCCACCACCUCCAAAGCGAUUUGUCCUUCUCACUGAAGCACCCAGUGCUGCCCAGGAGCAGACUCAGGAGUGUGUUUUGGACAGCAACUUAACAAUAAAGCAGAAUCUUCAGGGAAGAAUUCUCUCCAAAUCAGCUUGUGAUCUGGAUUCAAGAGUGAUUCUAGGAAGCUUCGCAGCUGCUGUGCCAUCAGUCAGAGACAAUCAACCCUGCUGUGAACAUUCUGCAGCCCAAUGAGCAAGACUUCAUUCUCUGCUGAGAGCAAGGUGCUGGAUUUGAAUGCAGAUUCUCCACGUCAGGCCAGGCAAGGCUCUGCUUU